UACGUAGGGGGCAAGCGUUGUCCGGAAUCAUUGGGCGUAAAGCGCGUGUAGGCGGUUCGGUAAGUCUGCUGUGAAAGUCCAGGGCUCAACCCUGGGAUGCCGGUGGAUACUGUCGGACUAGAGUACGGAAGAGGCGAGUGGAAUUCCCGGUGUAGCGGUGAAAUGCGUAGAUAUCUGGAGGAACACCGGUGGCGAAGGCGGCAUCCUGGACCGACACUGACGCUGAGGAGCGAAAGCCAGGGGAGCAAACGGG
rnacentral:rRNA from 1 species